rnacentral:rRNA from 1 species
GACUUAUCGUCUCGCGAAUGCUNUCAAUNAUUUAUGAUCAUGGCUCAGAGUGAACGCUGGCGGUUAAGCCUAACACAUUGCAAGUCGAACGGCAGCACAGGAGAGCUUGCUCUCUGGGUGGCGAGUGGCGGACGGGUGAGGAAUACAUCGGAAUCUACUUUUUCGUGGGGGAUAACGUAGGGAAACUUACGCUAAUACCGCAUACGACCUACGGGUGAAAGCAGGGGAUCUUCGGACCUUGCGCGAUUGAAUGAGCCGAUGUCGGAUUAGCUAGUUGGCGGGGUAAAGGCCCACCAAGGCGACGAUCCGUAGCUGGUCUGA